rnacentral:rRNA from 1 species
CAGUCGCCGCGGUAAUACGAGGGGGGCAAGCGUUGUUCGGAAUUAUUGGGCGUAAAGGGUGCGUAGGCGGUUUGGCAAGUUUGGUGUGAAAUCUUCGGGCUCAACUCGAAGUCUGCAUCGAAAACUGCCGGGCUUGAGUAUGGGAGAGGUGAGUGGAAUUUCCGGUGUAGCGGUGAAAUGCGUAGAUAUCGGAAGGAACACCUGUGGCGAAAGCGGCUCACUGGACCAUAACUGACGCUGAUGCACGAAAGCUAGGGGAGCAAACAGGAUUAAAUACCCCUGUAGUCCCUGUCUCUUAUAC